AGUGAACGCUGGCGGUAGGCCUAACACAUGCAAGUCGAACGGCAGCACAGGAAAGCUUGCCCUCUAGGUGGCGAGUGGCGGACGGGUGAGGAAUACAUCGGAAUCUGCCCAGUCGCGGGGGAUAACGUAGGGAAACUUACGCUAAUACCGCAUACGACCUUCGGGUGUAAGGGGGGGAUCGCAAGACCUCUCGCGAUUGGAUGAGCCGAUGUCGGAUUAGCUAGUUGGCGGGGUAAUGGCCCACCAAGGCGACGAUCCGUAGCUGGUCUGAGAGGAUGACCAGCCACACUGGAACUGAGACACGGUCCAGACUCCUACGGGAGGCAGCAGUGGGGAAUAUUGGACAAUGGGCGCAAGCCUGAUCCAGCCAUACCGCGUGGGUGAAGAAGGCCAUCGGGUUGUAAAGCCCUUUUGUUGGGAAAGAAAACUUUCAGGCUAAUACCCUGCGAGGAUGACGGUACCCAAAGAAUAAGCACCGGCUAACUUCGUG
rnacentral:rRNA from 1 species